UCUCCAUUGUGUACUGCCGCAACACAACAAACACACACUUAAGAGUUUAGCCUAAUGGACUAAAAGGAUAAACACUCAAAUAAGACUUGAUUAGUAACCACGGUUCUUUAUACCUCGCAGGUUCCUAGUCCUUGAACAUCUUUAGGGAGCCUCAUAGCUGCUAGAUCACCAUAAGUGCAGUUCCUUCUAAAUUUUAGGAUUGGCGGCACUACAAACUGGUGGAAAUGAGUUCCUGCAGGAGCCCAGCUCUGUUCCCUUGGUGUUAACCAUUUCCCAACGAUCCAAGUCUGCAUGUACAUAGUUCAAACACCCCCAAAGUCAAUACAUUUACGUUAACACACCAAAUGAAAAACAGUUAGAACUCAGUACGCUACCUUGCAGUUUUGAGCAGCGUUGUAUUUGGUCACUUGCACGAGGUAGUUUUGGAACUCAGCCGGAGCUUCUUUCUGAAUCUUUUGGAAUCUCUCUAUCGACAUAGUCAACAUCUGUCAAUUAUUUAAACAUCUAUCAGACUUUGAGACAAUAUAGAUCGUUAAGUAUUAGUAAGAAAACUUACGAGAACUCUCACUCCACGACGACAGAGGUAAAGAGCGAUGGCUCUUCCCAGCUUAGAAGUGGCUCCUGUCAAGAACACUUCUUUCACAUCUUUUGGAAUUUCAUUGAGAAUCACUGCUGCGGUUAAAGUGUUCCCAUGAACCACACGAACUCUAAGGUCAGGAUGCUUGUUCACAAACAACGUCCCACCACCAUUUAAAGCUUCGUUCUGAGAACAAACAAAAACAUAACAAAAAUAAGUAACCUUUUAAGUGACUUGACUCAGAAGUUACUAACUUGUACCUUGUUCAGAGCAGCCAAGCUUAUGACUUUAACACCAAUCUUAUCAGCUCUCAGAAUCGCAGCCUCGAUCUGAUCAUUAAUCCCUUGUGUAGCAAACGGUAAGAAGUACUGCAAAACAGAGGAAAAUGCUCUGUAAAACACUCUGUUCUCUCUGUUUUCAAGGGGAGUUAGAAAGAAACAGAGACAUUACUUGGAAACCGAAUCUAGGAACUCCCCAAGUCUGGCAAAGAUUGUUUCUGAGGGUGUAGAAGCUGAAAAGAAAAGCCUUUGACCAAACCCACAUGCCCAACAUCACCAUGAAAGUGAACGGCCACAUGGGAAGCAAGAAGAGCCUCGUCGUGUAUGGCAUCGAAGCAAACGAUCUGAACACAAACGGUGCAUGCAUCGCCGACAUCACAUCUACCCCAUGAGCCAAGAACACAAACUCCGGCGCCCUCUUCCGUUCCCCUGCACACAAAGAUCAAUUCAGUUUUUCAAAAAAAAGAAAGACAAAAACUGUAACUUUGUGGUCAAGGAAGGGGUACUAUUGUCUUUUCAAAUCUUUGGCUUUACAUCCUUGACUCUGACCACUCAUAAAUUGGCUUAACCUGUUUGGUAUUGCUGCCAAAUUUAUUCAACUAGUCUAGUACUCUCUGUCUAGACUCACUUUGUUUCAAAAAAGUAUUUAUUCUAAGAUUUUUUUUUCGUUUCAAAAAAGGUAACCUUCUAUAUUUCCAAUAUUAUUUUAAGUAUUUAUUUACUUUUAACCUUUUAAAUAAUCAAUAAAUUUAUAUUUAAAUUAUUUUCAUUUAAUUAAUUCUAUACUAAAAAUAUAUAUAUAUAAUUGUAUAUUUUGCAAUUUUCGUCAAUGUGACACUUUUGCAAACGGAAGGAGUAAUAGUUUCGGUAUAUUAUUACCUGAAGCCAAACGAAUCUUCUUUUGGAGUUCCCAUGAGUUUGAGUUAAGUGUGUUGCCCAAAACAUCAAAGAGAGGCAUAAACAGACAGAAGUUGGUCCCCAUUUCUUGAUGAUGCAGAGUAUGGUACCUGCAUGAUCCCCACCAAUUAAAUCAAACUUUUAAACAUUUUUUUAAAUUCAUCGCAAGUAAAAAUCAUAUUAUAUAUACAACUAGAAACUAUAGAAAUCUUUGCUUCUUAGAGUGAAAAUAUGACAAAGUCACGUUCGUGUGUGCCUUAAGUUGGGUCCUUAAGCAUAGGAUCCCUAAUUCAAUGAAUAAGUUAGAGAGCCUUUAUUGGAAAACUUAUGGUGUGUGGAGCCAAUAGAUCUCAUCUAACCAAAUCCACAAAAAAAAGUUAACAUGUGAAGUACUUUUCAGAAAGGGUAAUAAGAUACACGUUAACAACAUACGUUGGAGUGUAGAUGAGAUAACGUAGGAUUGGUAGAGUCUCGAAUAACUUGUGAGAGAAGAUUUCAACGUUGCAAUGUCCUAAACAUCUUAGGAAAUCAAACAGAAGACACAGAGCUAAGGCCGUGUCUCAUGGCUGCUUCCCACACCAGAUCAAUACGGUCAACGUCAAUGGCUCCAACCUCAUGAUGCUUCCAACCCUCCAGCAUAUGAACCACUCCUCCUGCAUGGCAUGCAUGAACCACCCCUCUCUCCAUUGUGUACUGCCGCAACACAACAAACACACACUUAAGAGUUUAGCCUAAUGGACUAAAAGGAUAAACACUCAAAUAAGACUUGAUUAGUAACCACGGUUCUUUAUACCUCGCAGGUUCCUAGUCCUUGAACAUCUUUAGGGAGCCUCAUAGCUGCUAGAUCACCAUAAGUGCAGUUCCUUCUAAAUUUUAGGAUUGGCGGCACUACAAACUGGUGGAAAUGAGUUCCUGCAGGAGCCCA
rnacentral:lncRNA from 1 species